GUAAUGACAGUCAUACGUCAUUUCAUGACGACAGACUCAACGCGACGCUGUCAUUAUUUUUACGUUGGCUAUAGGGCGCUUAACUUAAUGGAAAAAAAAAGGCAGGGGGUCACUUUAAAUGUAAUUCACGAAAUCAGAGGUAGACUAGUAAAAAAAUAUUUCACCGCUGAUCAGGGUUGCCAGGUUUUCACAGCAAAACCCGCCCAAAUACUACACGAAUCGCUAUUUGGGGCGGGGGGGAUUGGGUAUUGUCUGGGUUUCUUGAAAGUAUCCCAAUUCUGCUGAUUCAUUUCCCACCUAAAAAUGCGGCACUGAAGAGUUUACCGUAUCUAAAGUCACCCCUGCGUUCGUGUCGUGAAGACACCGGGAUGCCAACGUGAGCAAAACAACCUACGUCUUCUGAGGGGCAUGUUUUCCUGAGGGCCAUGAAGUGACAGACAACUGACUACAGUCCCCAGACCUAAUUCAAUAUGGAAAUAAGCAGGGAGUUGGAUGUAUUUGCCAAAUGAUCAAGUAAACUGGAUUGUCCUGGAAGACUAAGACUAGACUCAGCACUUCCCAGACCUAAUUAAUUACAGAGGGUGGAGUUGGAGGAUGGAUGCCAGAGGAGCUGUCUAAGGAGUAAGAACCAGAACAAGCCAACCCGUCCCCUGUGUGGUGUCGUCCUCCUCUUCUCCUCCUCCUUUGGUCUUCUGUUCCUUCGCCCUGUAUUUCCCUCCCUCUGAUGGAUCCGGCCGCCCCGGUGCGCCACCAGACCAAAAAGCGAAAAGGGCAAGAAAUUUGUCACCUUCCCCAACAAGACCCUCACCAGACAAAAGAACAACGGCAUUAAUCAUCUGACAUUUCAAUAUUGUAUUACCCUUUCUAGUGAAAAUCAAGGGGGUCAUUAAACUGGUAAAAGGAGACGGGGUGCAGAUCAAUAGAACAAGCCUCGAACAGAACCUUGAGCUUUACUGCCGUCUGCAGAUUCACAGCUGCUGUCAGUAGGUAUGAUAGGAGACAGCCUUAACUAAUUACCUCUACGUGAAGGGCAUGAAGUGGCGUUCAAUGCAUUGAUGGCAGCAGUGAAGAGAACACUUAAUCAGCAGGCAAUGAAUAUAAACAGGCAAAGACCACCGGAGGGGAGCCCCUUGUUUGUGGUGCUGUUCUUGAUGAGAGCCGAUGGUAGCGUGAGGUUUUGUGUCUGUAAAAACAACACACAGCCGAAUUGCGUAGAGUAUGUUGAAAUGCUUUAGACGAGGGGAGAGUUUGAGAAUGUGCCCUCCGAGUGCUUUCAUGUUCUGCUUUUAGUACGUGGCACAGGGAAAGUUUUUCUUCGAGGAUGAAUUAAAAGGAGCGACAGGCUAAUAGGGAGAGAUACCUCAGUCGUUUCUCUUCGCUUUCACGAGCCUCUCCUGGCCGUUCACCCGUGUCUUCGUCAUUCAUCAUCCUGCAAUCGCGGCGUGUCUGUUCAGCAGGUCGUUUAACUACGAAAACAUGCCAAUUUAGCCUGUUUGUGUGUUCGCGGACAACUUCAAACGCUGUUUGGACAUGGUCAGUCAUCGUGCCGUUUCGGUUUGGUAGCUGUCAGAGUUCAGGUCUGUGAUUGUGGAGCUCUUAACAAAACAAAGUGAUUAAAGA